rnacentral:rRNA from 1 species
CCCUUAGAUGCUCUGGGCCGCACGCGCGCUACACUGGUCGAUGCAACGAGUUUCUUUCCUUGGCCGACAGGCCUGGGCAAUCUUUGAACAUCGAUCGUGAUCGGGAUAGAUUCUUGUAAUUUUUGAUCUUAAACGAGGAAUUCCUAGUAAACGCAGGUCAUCAAUCUGCAUUGAUUACGUCCCUGCCCUUUGUACACACCGCCCGUCGCACCUACCGAUUGGAUGGUCCGGUGAAGCCUCGGGAUUGUGGUUCUUGCCGCUUUAUUGUGGCGUGACCGCGAGAACUUGUCUAAACCUUAUCAUCUAGAGGAAGGUGAAGUCGUAACA